rnacentral:RNase_P_RNA from 1 species
GGAGUUGGCCAGACGAUCGCUGCCCUGCAUGCAGGGGGGAGGAAAGUCCGGGCUUCAUAGGGCAGAGUGCCAGGUAACGCCUGGGCGGCGCGAGCCGACGGAAAGUGCAACAGAGAGCAGACCGCCGAUGGCCCGUAAGGGAUCAGGUAAGGGUGAAACGGUGCGGUAAGAGCGCACCACGAGUCUGGUAACAGACCGGUACGGCAAACCCCACUCGAAGCAAGACCAAAUAGGUGUCCAGACGCGCGGCCCGCGCGGGACACGGGUAGGUUGCUUGAGCGCAUCGGCGACGAUGCGCCUAGAGGAAUGAUCGUCCACGACAGAACCCGGCUUAUCGGCCAACUCCCCCU